rnacentral:rRNA from 1 species
GUGGAUUAGAUACCCUGGUAGUCCACGCCCUAAACGAUGAUAAUUAAGUGUUGCGCUUGUCGCAGUGCUGUAGCUAACGCGUUAAAUUAUCCACCUGAGAAGUACGGUCGCAAGAUUAAAACUCAAAGGAAUAGACGGGGACCCACACAAGCAGUGGAUCAUGUUGUUUAAUUCGACAAUAAACGGGGAACCUUACCCAGACUUGACAUCCUAGGAAUCCACUGGAAACAGAGGAGUGCUCGCAAGAGAGCCUAGAGACAGGUGCUGCAUGGCUGUCGCCAACU